ACUAAAAAAAAAAAAUAAAAAUAUGAAAGACUCAAUUGACCAAAGCCAUGAUAGGAAGCUGAGGACAACAUCUGAUGUUCCAUUCAACUUCAUAAUCUAGCAUCAAGCCUGGAAUUUAAAAAGCCAGUUUUCCUAAGAGUCUUAUGCAGAUGAUGGAAGAAGUGCUUGAUGGGAAUAUGUGCAAUGAUCAUGUUCUUAAGCACCCUACAGAGAUCCAACUAACCACAAGCAUUUGGUUCUAUCACACACUUCUCAUAAGCAGCAAGUCAGGUAGACACAACUUUUUCUUAUUUUAACUUCUAUAUCUCUGACAUCAUCUUGAACAGUGUUAUGAAUACAUUAUAUCUUGACGUUAAAUAAUAGAACAAUCUUAUUCUACUGAGCUUUUUAAGCUUAGCUGAUU